CACUCCUGCGGGAGGCAGCAGUGGGGAAUAUUUGACAAUGGGCGCAAGCCUGAUCCAGCCAUGCCGCGUGAGUGAUGAAGGCCCUAGGGUUGUAAAGCUCUUUCACCGGUGAAGAUAAUGACGGUAACCGGAGAAGAAGCCCCCGCUAACUUCGUGCCAGCAGCCGCGGUAAUACGAAGGGGGCUAGCGUUGUUCGGAUUUACUGGGCGUAAAGCGCACGUAGGCGGACUAUUAAGUCAGGGGUGAAAUCCCGGGGCUCAACCCCGGAACUGCCUUUGAUACUGGUAGUCUUGAGUUCGAGAGAGGUGAGUGGAAUUCCGAGUGUAGAGGUGAAAUUCGUAGAUAUUCGGAGGAACACCAGUGGCGAAGGCGGCUCACUGGCUCGAUACUGACGCUGAGGUGCGAAAGCGUGGGGAGCAAACAGGAUUAGAAACCCGGGUAGUCCCA
rnacentral:rRNA from 1 species